UUUAGAUGUGUUGGAACUUUUAUAGAAUGACGACAUACAAAUGUCGGAUUCACCGUAAUCAAAAUUUAUAGGAAUUGCAAAUCAAAUAGAAACCAUUCUAACUUCUAACUUAACAACUCUGUACAAUACAACCAUUCUAAAAAAAAUGAGCUAAAAGAUUGACAUAAUAUAUGAUACAAAAAUUGUCAUUCACCUUCUAAACUUCAUCAAUCCAAAAUUAAAAUAGAACUAUGAUUUGAACAAACAAAGAGAACUAAUUGGCAUCUCUCCAAAGCAUUUUCAACAUUUUCAUUUACCAGCCCAAUGUCAAAUGUAAUGCAGCAGGCACAGUACUCUCAAUAUCCAUUCUACUUGCAACACUAAAUAAUACUCUAUAACCUUCGUAUAUAGUGAUAAAAUACUGGUCAUUGAAUAAACAAAAUUCAGCAGGCAUGCUCAAUUGAAAAUGAACAACAAGUAAUCCACUCAGUUGAAGAUGAACAUCAACACAAACCCAGAAUUUAAGACAAGAAUUGUUCUUUAUACAACAACAAUAAACCCAGAAUUUUAAUACAGGAACAUUCGAAGAGUGUAAAAUCUAUGAAUUUAUAACAGUAUCCAUGGCCACAAAAUGAAAUAGCAAUGAUGGCCCAAGUCUAAUUUUGCAUAAAAUUAAACAUUCCAACAAUUACCGUAAACAUUGUAGAAUUGAUUCCGCGGAAAUGGACCAUCAACAGGAGGUCGUUGCUUGCUGGAUUUUGAACAUCGAAACAAUCGAGGAUUUCCCAAGUCUAUCCAUUACUUUGGUGUUGACUCGCAUACUUCCGCUUCGCUUUCCGCCUUUUAAUCCUUUUGGUACUGAAACUGGCGGAGCAAUUGUUCUGCAAAAAUAGAAAUUAAACUUGCAAACAGAUUAAAUAUUAAACCACAGCCAACACCGAUAAUUUGUGAAAGGUUAGUUGCGAGUCCAUUGAUUAGAACGGAGACAGUGGCGGUGGUUGACGAAGAAGCCGUGAGAUGGACGUCACAGGUGAAGGUUGAAGGUGAGUUCUGGGCUUGGUAGCGGAAGUGGAAUCGGUGUAAGCGUCGCGGUUUUGAAGGUGUUAGGUGUUGCGAUUUGGGUUUAAAGGUGUUGGAAAAGGAUCGCGGAGGAGAGCGGUGGAGGGUUUCGUGUGAGGUUCCGUCAAAGGUAGAGAACGAUGGUGGAGAUGGGAAGAGGAAAAUGAAGGUUAAGCGGCGGUGGCGGCUUCACGGAAGAUGAAGGGCGAUUGAAGCGAUUUGGUGGCCGGUGAUGGAAGGAUUUAUGGAUUGUGACGGCAAUGGUGAUUUGGGUCGGUAGCGUGAGCUUGAGCGGAAGGUUUCGCCGGUGACGAAAAGGCGGAUGAAGGAAUUUCGGCUUGGGUUUUGUGGAUUUGAGAAUGAGAUGUGAAGGUGAGGGAGAGUGACUUGUGUGGAAGGGUUUUGUUUGAUGGUUUUUUGUGAGAGAGAUGAGUGAAUCCGAGAGUGAGGUUUUCUGUGUGAGAGUUGAGAGAGUGAAUGGAGUGUGAGCGUGAGAUGUGAGCGAGAGAAUAUCUUUUAUUACCUUUAUUUUUUGUCGUUUAUGUCGGUACGAGAGAGAGGAAUGGGGUCAGGUUGUUAGUAGUGGAGAGUGUUUUUGUAGUGCAGAGAGACGUUGGGAUAGUGAGAUUCUUAUCAUUUAUUUUUUGUUUUUUAAAAGAGAUAAGAGAAUCCAAUGCUAAUAAUAUAUACAUUAUUAAAUAACAAAUUAUUAAAGCAAAGCUAAUUAAUAUUUAAAAAAACCUAAAUAAUAUUUUAAAUAAACUAACUAUUAUUUAACUAAUGUUUUAAAACAAACUAAUAUUUACUUAAAUAAACUAAUAUCUACUUAAAAUAGCUAAUACUUAAAACAACUAAUUUAAUAUUUUUAAAAAAACUAUUCUAAUUUUUUUAAUAAAAUACCAACAAAAUAUUUGACCAGUUAUAAAAAUAAAGAAAAAACCGAGUACAAAUUUUAAUCGAAAAAAUUAAACCAGUCACACUAAAAUUGUCAGCAAAGAAACCAACUUAUUAAAAAUACAGUCUUUCCUUCGAUUCAACCGAUUUUUCUGUAUUCUCAAAUAAAUUCAUCCUGACCGACAUUUCAGGUAUUAUUCAUGAUGCAAAUGUAUGUCAUGUUAUGCAUAUGAUGUUAUAAUAAAAAUGAAAUCGAUUCUAUGAUAAUUUAAAUAUGCCCGGACAAAAUUGGGGUACGACANAGUCCAUUGAUUAGAACGGAGACAGUGGCGGUGGUUGACGAAGAAGCCGUGAGAUGGCCGUCACAGGUGAAGGUUGAAGGUGAGUUCUGGGCUUGGUAGCGGAAGUGGAAUCGGUGUAAGCGUCGCGGUUUUGAAGGUGUUAGGUGUUGCGAUUUGGGUUUAAAGGUGUUGGAAAAGGAUCGCGGAGGAGAGCGGUGGAGGGUUUCGUGUGAGGUUCCGUCAAAGGUAGAGAACGAUGGUGGAGAUGGGAAGAGGAAAAUGAAGGUUAAGCGGCGGUGGCGGCUUCACGGAAGAUGAAGGGCGAUUGAAGCGAUUUGGUGGCCGGUGAUGGAAGGAUUUAUGGAUUGUGACGGCAAUGGUGAUUUGGGUCGGUAGCGUGAGCUUGAGCGGAAGGUUUCGCCGGUGACGAAAAGGCGGAUGAAGGAAUUUCGGCUUGGGUUUUGUGGAUUUGAGAAUGAGAUGUGAAGGUGAGGGAGAGUGACUUGUGUGGAAGGGUUUUGUUUGAUGGUUUUUUGUGAGAGAGAUGAGUGAAUCCGAGAGUGAGGUUUUCUGUGUGAGAGUUGAGAGAGUGAAUGGAGUGUGAGCGUGAGAUGUGAGCGAGAGAAUAUCUUUUAUUACCUUUAUUUUUUGUCGUUUAUGUCGGUACGAGAGAGAGGAAUGGGGUCAGGUUGUUAGUAGUGGAGAGUGUUUUUGUAGUGCAGAGAGACGUUGGGAUAGUGAGAUUCUUAUCAUUUAUUUUUUGUUUUUUAAAAGAGAUAAGAGAAUCCAAUGCUAAUAAUAUAUACAUUAUUAAAUAACAAAUUAUUAAAGCAAAGCUAAUUAAUAUUUAAAAAAACCUAAAUAAUAUUUUAAAUAAACUAACUAUUAUUUAACUAAUGUUUUAAAACAAACUAAUAUUUACUUAAAUAAACUAAUAUCUACUUAAAAUAGCUAAUACUUAAAACAACUAAUUUAAUAUUUUUAAAAAAACUAUUCUAAUUUUUUUAAUAAAAUACCAACAAAAUAUUUGACCAGUUAUAAAAAUAAAGAAAAAACCGAGUACAAAUUUUAAUCGAAAAAAUUAAACCAGUCACACUAAAAUUGUCAGCAAAGAAACCAACUUAUUAAAAAUACAGUCUUUCCUUCGAUUCAACCGAUUUUUCUGUAUUCUCAAAUAAAUUCAUCCUGACCGACAUUUCAGGUAUUAUUCAUGAUGCAAAUGUAUGUCAUGUUAUGCAUAUGAUGUUAUAAUAAAAAUGAAAUCGAUUCUAUGAUAAUUUAAAUAUGCCCGGACAAAAUUGGGGUACGACANNNNNNNNNNNNNNNNNNNNNNNNNUCUAUUUGCAUAAAAAUUAAACAUUACAACAAUUACCAGUAAACAAUUGUAGAAUUGAUUCCGCGGAAUGCGACCAUCAACAGGAGGUCGUGCUUGCUGGAUUUUUUAGAACAUACGAAACAAUCGAGGAUUUCCCAAGUCUAUCAUUACUUUGGUGUUGACUCGCCAUACUUCCCGCUUCGCUUCGCCCCUUUUAAUCCUUUGGUACUGAAACUGGCCGGAGCAAUUGUUUCUGCCCCCAAAAAUAGAAAUUAAACUUGCAAACAGAUUAAUAUUUAAACCAAGCAACACGUAAUUUGUGAAAGCGUUGUGCCGAACGAGUCCAUUGAUUAGAACGGGACAGUUGGCGGUGCGGUGACGAAGAAGCCGUUUGGAGAUGGCCGUCAGCAGGUGAAGAGUUGAAGGUGAGUUCUGGGCUUGGU
rnacentral:lncRNA from 1 species